rnacentral:rRNA from 1 species
AUUGGAGGCUGAAACCCGCCUCCAUGAAGUUGGAUUCGCUAGUAAUCGCGCAUCAGCCAUGGCGCGGUGAAUACGUUCCCGGGCCUUGUACACACCGCCCGUCAAGCCAUGGGAGCCGGGGGUGCCUGAAGUUCGUGACCGCAAGGAGCGACCUAGGGCAAAACUGGUGACUGGGGCUAAGUCGUAACAAGGUAAC